CGAUGGGAGCUUGCUCCCUGAGAUUAGCGGCGGACGGGUGAGUAACACGUGGGCAACCUGCCUAUAAGACUGGGAUAACUUCGGGAAACCGGAGCUAAUACCGGAUACGUUCUUUUCUCGCAUGAGAGAAGAUGGAAAGACGGUUUACGCUGUCACUUAUAGAUGGGCCCGCGGCGCAUUAGCUAGUUGGUGAGGUAAUGGCUCACCAAGGCGACGAUGCGUAGCCGACCUGAGAGGGUGAUCGGCCACACUGGGACUGAGACACGGCCCAGACUCCUACGGGAGGCAGCAGUAGGGAAUCUUCCGCAAUGGACGAAAGUCUGACGGAGCAACGCCGCGUGAACGAAGAAGGCCUUCGGGUCGUAAAGUUCUGUUGUUAGGGAAGAACAAGUACCAGAGUAACUGCUGGUACCUUGACGGUACCUAACCAGAAAGCCACGGCUAACUACGUGCCAGCAGCCGCGGUAAUACGUAGGUGGCAAGCGUUGUCCGGAAUUAUUGGGCGUAAAGCGCGCGCAGGUGGUUCCUUAAGUCUGAUGUGAAAGCCCACGGCUCAACCGUGGAGGGUCAUUGGAAACUGGGGAACUUGA
rnacentral:rRNA from 2 species